rnacentral:rRNA from 1 species
CUCAUUAAACCAGUUAUAGUUUAUUUGAUGGUCUCUUUGUUCUUCUUUUUACCUACUUGGAUAACCGUGGUAAUUCUAGAGCUAAUACAUGCACAAGGUCCCGAGCGCGGAGAGUAGGACUUCACGGUUCUAUUCUUGCAUGCGUAGCGGGAUGUAUUUAUUAGGUUAAACAACCAGCAUCUUCAUCAUCUGGUGAUUCAUAGUAGCUCUUUCGGAUCGCAUUCAUG